AACUAUAUGGUAUUAUAUAUAGCUUUUUCUGCACAAUGUGAAAAUAUGAAUUGCCGCAGUACUUUGACUGUGCUAAGGUAGCAUAAUCAUUUGGCUUAUAAUUGAAGUCUAGUAUGAAUGAAAUCAUGGGGGUCUACUGUUUCAAAGACGCAUUUUGAAUUUUUCUGGUUGGUGAAAAUGCCAAUAAAUACUUAAUAGACGAGAAGACCCUUGAAAUUUUUAAUAAUUUUUUUUGGAUAUGUUUUAGUUGGGGCGACAAAGUAGCAAAAAACCUACUUGAACUAAAUAAGCAUUAAAUAGGAUGGACAAAUAAAUUACUCUAGGGAUAACAGCAUAAUAUUAUAAAGUUUGUGACCUCGAUGUUGGACUAGGAUAAUAUAGCUUAGAAGGCUCCUAUUAUUGCUCUGUUCG
rnacentral:rRNA from 1 species